rnacentral:lncRNA from 1 species
AUUUAAUGAAAUUUUGAAAUCCUUCAAAAUAAUCUUUACUGGACCUUAGCUUGUUUAUUCAACUUUUAUCCACUGUAUAAGAAUACAAAUUAAAUAAUAAUUUAUCUAAAAAAUAUUAUAUAAAUAGCAUACUAGUUGAGCUCUCCACAAAAUUCAGAAAUGCAACCAUCUUAUAACAUUUAAUAAGACAGCUUGAUAAAUCUAUCAAACUAACAAAAGAGGACUCAUGGCACAAAAAAUGGGAAAUCUAAAACAAUAAGCCAGA